rnacentral:lncRNA from 1 species
AAUAACACAAGGGCUGCCAGCAGAAAGCUCUGGUAGGAAAUAUGAAGAGUUGAACUUUACUGUGGUCACUCUAAGGACAUUUCUGAUUUAUGACUUUGAACUGCGAGAAAUCUGAAUUCAGAAGCUUAGUAAGGCAGAAGCAAAGUGGCGCUCAUGUCUGCCAUCUGGUGGAAAGAAGAGGUUUAGUGUGCCUGUUGUGGAGUUCCUUAAAGAGACCUCUCCCCACUGAGACCAAUGUGGAAAACCCAA